rnacentral:rRNA from 1 species
UACGGGGGGGCAAGCGGUUGUUCGGAAUUACUGGGCGUAAAGGGCUCGUAGGCGGCCAACUAAGUCAGACGUGAAAUCCCCAGGCCUCAACCUGGGAACUGCGUCUGAUACUGGAUGGCUUGAAUCCGGGAGAGGGAUGCAGAAUUCCAGGUGUAGCGGUGAAGUGCGUAGAUAUCUGGAGGAACACCGGUGGCGAAGGCGGCAUCCUGGACCGGUAUUGACGCUGAGGCGCGAAAGCCAGGGGAGCAAACGGG